rnacentral:tRNA from 1 species
GCCUGGGUGGCUCAGUUGAGCGUCUGACUUCGGCUCAGAUUAUGAUCUUGCAGUUCAUGGGUUCGAGCCCCAUGUCGGGCU